GGUGGGAUGGGUGAGAGGCUGAAACCAACAGUUUGCUAAACUGUCGUACGGGUAACUGUACCGCGGGUUCGAAUCCCGCUCCCACCGCCA
rnacentral:tRNA from 1 species